GGAGUAUUCGGCAAUGGGGGAAACCCUGACCGAGCAACGCCGCGUGAGUGAUGACGGCCCUAUGGGUUGUAAAGCUCUGUUGUAAGGGACGAACUACCGUUUAGGAAAUGAAACGGUUCUGACGGUACCUUACCAGAAAGCCACGGCUAACUACGUGCCAGCAGCCGCGGUAAUACGUAGGUGGCAAGCGUUAUCCGGAAUUAUUGGGCGUAAAGAGGGAGCAGGCGGCAAGAUAAGUUUGAAGUGAAAGCGUGGGGCUCAACCCCAUACAGCUUCGAAAACUGUCUAGCUAGAGUACGAGAGAAGUGAACGGAACUCCAUGUGUAGCGGUGAAAUGCAUAGAUAUAUGGAAGAACACCAGUGGCGAAGGCGGUUCACUAGCUCGAAACUGACGCUCAGUCCCGAAAGCGUGGGUAGCAAAUA
rnacentral:rRNA from 1 species